rnacentral:pre_miRNA from 1 species
UUGCAUGCUUUUCCACGGCUUUCUUGAACUUGGUACUCUGACUUUCUCUUUUACUCUCUCUCAAUUUCUUCAAACAACAUUAAUGUUUGAAAGUUGAAACAAAACAAAAGUAUGUAUGUAUAUGUUGGGACUUGGGAGUCGAAAUAAAAUUGAGUAAAAGGAGCGGCGCAUAUAUCAAAUUCUUAGUAUGAAGCUCAAGAAAGCCGUGGGAAAACAUGAACG